rnacentral:rRNA from 1 species
CAGCGACUUAUAUUCUGUAGCAAGGUUAACCGAAUAGGGGAGCCGGAGGGAAACCGAGUCUUAAUUGGGCGUUAAGUUGCAGGGUAUAGACCCGAAACCCGGUGAUCUAGCCAUGGGCAGGUUGAAGGUUGGGUAACACUAACUGGAGGACCGAACCGACUAAUGUUGAAAAAUUAGCGGAUGACCUGUGGCUGGGGGUGAAAGGCCAAUCAAACCGGGAGAUAGCUGGUUCUCCCCGAAAGCUAUUUAGGUAGCGCCUCGUGAAUUCAUCUCCGGGGGUAGAGCACUGUUUCGGCUAGGGGGCCAUCCCGGCUUACCAACCCGAUGCAAACUGCGAAUACCGGAGAAUGUUAUCACGGGAGACACACGGCGGGUGCUAACGUCCGUCGUGAAGAGGGAAACAACCCAGACCGCCAGCUAAGGUCCCAAAGUCAUGGUUAAGUGGGAAACGAUGUGGGAAGGCCCAGACAGCCAGGAUGUUGGCUUAGAAGCAGCCAUCAUUUAAAGAAAGCGUAAUAGCUCACUGGUCGAGUCGGCCUGCGCGGAAGAUGUAACGGGGCUAAACCAUGCACCGAAGCUGCGGCAGCGACACUGUGUGUUGUUGGGUAGGGGAGCGUUCUGUAAGCCUGUGAAGGUGUGUCGUGAGGCAUGCUGGAGGUAUCAGAAGUGCGAAUGCUGACAUAAGUAACGAUAAAGCGGGUGAAAAGCCCGCUCGCCGGAAGACCAAGGGUUCCUGUCCAACGUUAAUCGGGGCAGGGUGAGUCGACCCCUAAGGCGAGGCCGAAAGGCGUAGUCGAUGGGAAACGGGUUAAUAUUCCCGUACUUGGUGUUACUGCGAAGGGGGGACGGAGAAGGCUAUGUUGGCCGGGCGACGGUUGUCCCGGUUUAAGCGUGUAGGUGUGUGUUCCAGGUAAAUCCGGUUCACUUUAACACUGAGGCGUGACGACGAGGCACUACGGUGCUGAAGCAACAAAUGCCCUGCUUCCAGGAAAAGCCUCUAAGCAUCAGGUAACAUCAAAUCGUACCCCAAACCGACACAGGUGGUCAGGUAGAGAAUACCAAGGCGCUUGAGAGAACUCGGGUGAAGGAACUAGGCAAAAUGGUGCCGUAACUUCGGGAGAAGGCACGCUGACACGUAGGUGAAGUGAUUUACUCAUGGAGCUGAAGUCAGUCGAAGAUACCAGCUGGCUGCAACUGUUUAUUAAAAACACAGCACUGUGCAAACACGAAAGUGGACGUAUACGGUGUGACGCCUGCCCGGUGCCGGAAGGUUAAUUGAUGGGGUCAGCGCAAGCGAAGCUCCUGAUCGAAGCCCCGGUAAACGGCGGCCGUAACUAUAACGGUCCUAAGGUAGCGAAAUUCCUUGUCGGGUAAGUUCCGACCUGCACGAAUGGCGUAAUGAUGGCCAGGCUGUCUCCACCCGAGACUCAGUGAAAUUGAACUCGCUGUGAAGAUGCAGUGUACCCGCGGCAAGACGGAAAGACCCCGUGAACCUUUACUAUAGCUUGACACUGAACAUUGAGCCUUGAUGUGUAGGAUAGGUGGGAGGCUUUGAAGUGUGGACGCCAGUCUGCAUGGAGCCGACCUUGAAAUACCACCCUUUAAUGUUUGAUGUUCUAACGUGGACCCGUUACCCGGGUUGCGGACAGUGUCUGGUGGGUAGUUUGACUGGGGCGGUCUCCUCCUAAAGAGUAACGGAGGAGCACGAAGGUUGGCUAAUCCUGGUCGGACAUCAGGAGGUUAGUGCAAUGGCAUAAGCCAGCUUGACUGCGAGCGUGACGGCGCGAGCAGGUGCGAAAGCAGGUCAUAGUGAUCCGGUGGUUCUGAAUGGAAGGGCCAUCGCUCAACGGAUAAAAGGUACUCCGGGGAUAACAGGCUGAUACCGCCCAAGAGUUCAUAUCGACGGCGGUGUUUGGCACCUCGAUGUCGGCUCAUCACAUCCUGGGGCUGAAGUAGGUCCCAAGGGUAUGGCUGUUCGCCAUUUAAAGUGGUACGCGAGCUGGGUUUAGAACGUCGUGAGACAGUUCGGUCCCUAUCUGCCGUGGGCGCUGGAGAACUGAGGGGGGCUGCUCCUAGUACGAGAGGACCGGAGUGGACGCAUCACUGGUGUUCGGGUUGUCAUGCCAAUGGCACUGCCCGGUAGCUAAAUGCGGAAGAGAUAAGUGCUGAAAGCAUCUAAGCACGAAACUUGCCCCGA